UCUUUUCUGCUUUCCUUAAAAGGGAACAUCAAGAUCUUCUUAAAAGGGUGGUGGCGGACAAGUUCGGGUUAGGAAGCAAUGGGUGAAGAUUGCGAUCCACCUUUUGUUCGACUUUGAUUUGAUUGUUCCCUUCUCUAUCCCAUAUACGGUUUGCCCCACAUAGCUUUCAGGGGUGAAUUGGAAUUUCUGCUUUAGCGAUUGAUGAAGAUACCCCAUUUACUGCUAUAGCGUUCUAGUCUUUAUCUUCGUCCAACCUCAGACUGAACGUUCGUCCAAUUUUCUCUUAAUUUGCUUCGUCCCAAAUUCUACUAGGUCCAUAAAACUGGAAGGUUUAAGAAGAAAGAAAGAAAGAAAGAAAGAAAAUUCAAUAUAUAGUAUCUGCAAUUAAAGUUGAGCUUGGUGUAUUUCACGUACUUGGAUUUUUGACUCACUUCCUUGACUUGCAUCCUAAUCUUUGGUUUCUAAAAUACGUAUAAAGGCUGUAUCUAUCAGCACGGAUGCAUGAGAUGAUAAGCAUUUUUCAAAACUUUAGGAGGCUUUGCCCCUUGCAUUUCCCCACCCCCCCCCCCCCCCCCCCCCCCCCUUAAUUGCAUUCCGCCAUGGUUUAUAUUCACUUGGUUGGGUUUAAUUAUGUGAAGUUUCUUAGUCUUCCCUCGUCAUUAUGAAUAUAAUGAGUGUCCUUAAAUAUUUAUGGAGUUCCUAUAUGUGCCUCUUGUCUCUUGAUCCCCUAAAAUCUAAUGGAAACCUUGAGGCUUGAUUAAAUAUAUGUUUUUGUUAUUCUAAGAGUUUAGAGAAAUUGAAGUAUUUGUUUUGGAGUCGUAUUAGCAUGAUUAUUCAAUGUUUGAUUGGAUUGAAGGCAUCAUGACAUUAAUGCGAUGAUCUAUGUAUAAACGAGGCAUAAAGAAAGCAUGCUUUAUGGUGCUGGACAUUUAGGAAAUUUCAUGAUAACAAAUGAAUUUUUUCCCGUCCAAGGUUCUGGGCAUUUUCAAGCUAUAUCUGAAGGUGGAAUGUAUACAACGGAAUUCCGUGUUGAGUGCUCUCUGCUAAUCUGCAUACUAUAUUAAAUUGUUAACCAAACCUGUAUUGGCCGGGAGCAGUUUGAAUUGCUAACUUCCAAAUGUUUGCCCCUUUUCUUAUUAGUUUAUUCCAGUUGUGGACAUCGGUUUUGAAAAAGAAC